rnacentral:rRNA from 1 species
CUACGGGAUGCAGCAGUGAGGAAUUUUGCGCAAUGGGGGAAACCCUGACGCAGCAACGCCGCGUGGAGGAUGACGCAUUUCGGUGUGUAAACUCCUUUUAUAUGUCAAGAAAAUGACGGUAGCAUAUGAAUAAGCACCGGCUAACUCCGUGCCAGCAGCCGCGGUAAUACGGAGGGUGCAAGCGUUACUCGGAAUCACUGGGCGUAAAGGACGCGUAGGCGGGCUUGUAAGUCAGGUGUGAAAUCCUACAGCUUAACUGUAGAACUGCACUUGAAACUACGAGCCUAGAGUAUGGGAGGGGCAGAUGGAAUUAGUGGUGUAGGGGUAAAAUCCGUAGAUAUCACUAGGAAUACCUAAAGCGAAGGCGAUCUGCUGGAACAUAACUGACGCUAAGGCGUGAAAGCGUGGGGAGCAAACAGGAUUAGAUACCCCUGUAGUC